UACGUAGGAGGCAAGCGUUGUCCGGAAUUAUUGGGCGUAAAGAGCUCGUAGGCGGUCUGUCGCGUCGGAUGUGAAAACCCAGGGCUCAACCCUGGGCCUGCAUUCGAUACGGGCAGACUAGAGUUCGGUAGGGGAGACUGGAAUUCCUGGUGUAGCGGUGAAAUGCGCAGAUAUCAGGAGGAACACCGGUGGCGAAGGCGGGUCUCUGGGCCGAAACUGACGCUGAGGAGCGAAAGCGUGGGGAGCAAACAGG
rnacentral:rRNA from 1 species